UACAGAGGUCUCAAGCGUUGUUCGGAUUCAUUGGGCGUAAAGGGUGCGUAGGUGGCGCUGUAAGUCGGGUGUGAAAUUUCGGAGCUUAACUCCGAAACUGCAUUCGAUACUGCGGUGCUUGAGGACUGGAGAGGAGACUGGGAUUCAUGGUGUAGCAGUGAAAUGCGUAGAGAUCAUGAGGAAGACCAGUGGCGAAGGCGGGUCUCUGGACAGUUCCUGACACUGAGGCACGAAGGCCAGGGGAGCAAACGGG
rnacentral:rRNA from 1 species